UCCAGACUUUGCACCCUCGCAUGCGCAUGAUGUUUAGCUACACUGAGGACAUUGUUCUCUUAAAAACAAUAAAGAGAGAGCUACUCUGAGAAAGAGAGCGGCCGACCUCUGUAAACAGACAGAAAUAGUCUGCGCUCCCAUUAGGCUAAACAGGAAACCCAGCCAAUUAGCUGUUUAUUCAGAAGCCGACUUCCAGGGUCAGGCCUAGGAGAGAGAGCACUUCCCGGACGGCCAUUGGGCAGACGGAUCGGAGCAGUGUGAACGGGGCGGGCAGGUGGCCGCUGACACACACGAGGCCAAACAAGCUGCUUUUGGUUGCGGGUCAUUGCAUGUAUGGUGGAGUUGUGAAGUGUGGUGCACAGCAGCAGCAGCAGCAGCGGCAGAAGCAGAAGCUUUCCAGAUCACAGCCUAGUGCAGAAGUCCAAACCGCAACCAGAAGGUCGAAAAGCCAAACACAAGAUGAUCACCUCCCUGCUGCCACUACAGGUUUGGUGACAGAGUUCUCCAUCUUUUUAGUAUUUAUAAUACAAUACAUAUACAGGAAAUGUUCCAUCCUGGUUUGCUAUUUGUUUCAGGACAUGAAUGAGAUGCAUUAGUGUGUACUCCAAUAGGCCUGUGUGGCCUUUAAAUAUUUACACAUGCUGCACUGUACUUUGUGAUCUGCAGCUGAAGCACUCAAUGAGAAUGAGGUUCUUAAAUUGCAAAAUAAUUCAAUUGCAGUAUAAUCGGCUUGUGGGCUUCUGGGUUCAAAUCUCCGCUCGGGCCAUUAUGUUUGUUUGCAUAUUCUCACUGCGCUAAUGAGGAUUUUUUUUCCCCCAGCUUCUUCCCACAUUUAGUAAACAUGCCAGGUUAUAUAAAGACUACAAAUUGUCCAUCGGUGUGAAGGUGAGAGUAAAUGGUUAUUUGUUCAUUUGUGCUCUGCAGUGAGUUGGCAGUAACCAGUCCUCGCUUCUCGCCCAAAGUCAGAUCCGUCCCAGCCCUAAUAAGCUACAAACGUACGAAACUCCAAUCAUAAAAUGAGACAUGGUGAUAAAGAUAAUGAUACUUAACCAUUGCACCCCAAGAGUUAUUUCAGCAUAGACAAAGCGGCGCAGCUUCAGUCCAAUAAAGAGUGUCAAAACAAGCCAGUGGACCACUAUGUAAACACCAUUUAACUCCAGAUUUGGUCUUUACACUGGAGGACCACACGCGAGGUGAAAGAGCGAAACCCUUGAAAGAGCCG